rnacentral:rRNA from 1 species
GACGAACGCUGGCGGCGUGCUUAACACAUGCAAGUCGAACGGAAAGGCCUUUUCGGAGGUACUCGAGUGGCGAACGGGUGAGUAACACGUGGGUGAUCUGCCCUGCACUCUGGGAUAAGCCUGGGAAACUGGGUCUAAUACCGGAUAGGACCGCACUUUAGUGUGUGUGGUGGAAAGUUUUUUCGGUGUAGGAUGAGCCCGCGGCCUAUCAGCUUGUUGGUGGGGUAAUGGCCUACCAAGGCGGCGACGGGUAGCCGGACUGAGAGGUUGGUCGGCCACAUUGGGACUGAGAUACGGCCCAGACUCCUACGGGAGGCAGCAGUGGGGAAUAUUGCACAAUGGGCGCAAGCCUGAUGCAGCGACGCCGCGUGGGGGAUGACGGCCUUCGGGUUGCAAACUCCGUUCGCCAGGGACGAAGCGUUUUGUGACGGUACCUGGAGAAGAAGCACCGGCUAACUACGUG